UUUAUACGUUGAAUUUUGGUCGCGUCGAAUGGAAUUAAGACAAUAGAUGAUGAUAAACCUCAUUAAUUAAGCUUCAUUGUCUAUUGUUUGAAUUGCAUUCGACGCGACCGAAAUUCGACGUAUAAA